UGGGGAAUUUUGCACAAUGGGGGAAACCCUGAUGCAGCGACGCCGCGUGAUUUAGAAGGCCUUCGGGUUGUAAAAAUCUUUUCUAUGGGAAGAAAAUGACAGUACCAUGGGAAUAAGGACCGGCUAAUUACGUGCCAGCAGCUGCGGUAAUACGUAAGGUCCGAGCGUUGUCCGGAAUCAUUGGGCGUAAAGGGUACGUAGGCGGGUAAGCAAGUUAGAAGUGAAAUCCUAUAGCUCAACUAUAGUAAGCUUUUAAAACUGCUCAUCUUGAGGUAUGGAAGGGAAAGUGGAAUUCCUAGUGUAGCGGUGAAAUGCGCAGAUAUUAGGAGGAAUACCGGUGGCGAAGGCGACUUUCUGGCCAUAACCUGACGCUGAGGUACGAAAGCGUGGGUAGCAAACAGG
rnacentral:rRNA from 1 species